rnacentral:rRNA from 1 species
AGAGUUUGAUCAUGGCUCAGAACAAACGCUGGCGGCGUGUCUUAAGCAUGCAAGUUGAGCGGCAAGGGGGAGCGAUCCCCCCUAGAGCGGCGGGCUGGUGAGUAACACGUGGAUGAUCUACCCGAGGCAUGGGGAUAGUCACUAGAAAUAGUGGGUAAUACCGAAUACGGUGCGCAUCGUGAGGGUGCGCAAGAAAGGUGCUACGGCACCGGCCUAGGAUGAGUCUGCGUCCCAUUAGCUGGUUGGUGAGGUAAGAGCCCACCAAGGCGAUGAUGGGUAGCCGGCCUGAGAGGGUGUACGGCCACACUGGGACUGAGAUACGGCCCAGACUCCUACGGGAGGCAGCAGCUAAGAAUAUUCCGCAAUGGACGAAAGUCUGACGGAGCGACGCCGCGUGGAUGAGGAAGGCCGAAAGGUUGUAAAGUUCUUUUGUUGGGGAAGAAUAACCAUGGGAGGGAAUGCCCGUGGGAUGACAUGAACCGACGAAUAAGCCCCGGCUAACUACGUGCCAGCAGCCGCGGUAACACGUAGGGGGCGAGCGUAGUUCGGAAUUACUGGGCGUAAAGGGCAUGUAGGCGGUCUUGUAAGCUUGGCGUGAAAGACCACGGCUCAACCGUGGGGAUUGCGUUGAGAACUGCGAGGCUUGAGUGACGGAGAGGGAGCUAGAAUUCCUGGUGUAGGGGUGGAAUCUGUAGAGAUCAGGAAGAAUACCAAUGGCGAAAGCAAGCUCCCUGGCCGAUGACUGACGCUGAGGUGCGAAAGUGUGGGAUCAAACAGGGAUUAGAUACCCUGGUAGUCCACACUGUAACGAUGUGCACUAGGUGCUGGUACGGAUGUAUCAGUGCCGUAGCUAACGUGAUAAGUGCACCGCCCGGGGGGGUAUGCUCGCAAGGGUGAAACUUAAAGGAAUUGACGG